rnacentral:rRNA from 1 species
GACGAACGCUGGCGGCGUGCUUAACACAUGCAAGUCGAGCGGUAAGGCCCCCUUCGGGGGGUACACGAGCGGCGAACGGGUGAGUAACACGUGAGCAACCUGCCCUUCACAUCGGGAUAACCCCGGGAAACCGGGGCUAAUACCGGAUACGACCACCGACGGCAUCGUCUGGUGGUGGAAAGUUCCGGCGGUGGAGGAUGGGCUCGCGGCCUAUCAGCUUGUUGGUGGGGUAACGCCCACCAAGGCGACGACGGGGUAGCCGGCCUGAGAGGGUGACCGGCCACACUGGGACUGAGACACGGCCCAGACUCCUACGGGAGGCAGCAGUGGGGAAUAUUGGACAAUGGGCGAAAGCCUGAUCCAGCAACGCCGCGUGA